UACGCCCACGGAGACUCACUGAUUGC
rnacentral:piRNA from 1 species